GAGAUACACUCUCCUUCGGGCAAUGGAUACAGGUGGUGCAUGGUUGUCGUCAGCUCGUGCCGUGAGGUGUUGGGUUAAGUCCCGCAACGAGCGCAACCCUUGUCAUUAGUUGCUACAUUCAGUUGGGCACUCUAAUGAGACUGCCGGUGACAAACCGGAGGGAAGGUGGGGAUGACGUCAAGUCCUCAUGGCCCUUAUAGGUGGGGCUACACACGUCAUACAAUGGAUGGUACAAAGGGUCGCCAACCCGCGAGGGGGAGCCAAUCCCAUAAAGCCAUUCGUAGUCCGGAUCGCAGUCUGCAACUCGACUGCGUGAAGUCGGAAUCGCUAGUAAUCGUGGAUCAGAAUGUCACGGUGAAUACGUUCCCGGGUCUU
rnacentral:rRNA from 1 species